rnacentral:lncRNA from 1 species
UUAAUUUGCUGCAACCCAUUUAUAAAAUUUGAGAUUAUGUAGGUACAGUAGUCCAAUUAGCUUCACAGAAGACCUGAAACCUUUUUAUGUUUCUAACUAACAAAAAAAAAAAUAUUGAGCAUUCGAUGAUUGGCAUUUGAAGUAAACUAUUGAGCCUUUGUAACGUUGCAUUUCUAUCACUGGAUUAGAAAUGCUCAUGGAGCAUAUAUUAGGAUAAUGCAGUAAAUAAUCACAGUCACAGCCUCUCAGAAUGUAACUCAUCAGAUCAAUAUGAUUCCAAGCUCACAUAGCUCCUGUUAUGGAUCACAAUAGUUCUUUACAUCCUUGCAUCAGAUUCUCAAAACCUCACAAUUCUGUUCAAAUUCUUUACAUCAAAAGGUGAAGAAAAAGAAACAACAUUAAGCGUCUGUAUCAUAUGGUACUAAAAACAUCACAAUUCUGUUCAAAUUUCUUACUGCAACAUUAAGCACAAUUACACCACCAGUUAAUAUAUACAUUGCCUUCAUGUUGAUCGAUCUUCCACAGUUUAAAAGAAAGCUUCUGUUCAACGAUCCUCCAAAUUGAAGUAGAGUUAUAGAAACUUCUUGCUAACGGGCUCUUGCAGCAGCUAAUGGCCUCUAUAUGGGUUUGUGGUCAACCAGGCUCAGGGAGUACAUACACCCAUAAUCACAAUACCAGAGGGGCUUCUUACACCUUUUCCUUCCAUCUUCUUGUGUUUAUGAGUAUACCCAUAAUCCACAUUUGUUUUAUCUUAAGGCAGCAAGAAAUUGCUAUAACAUGAAGGAAAAAUCAGAUCGUACGCACCACAACAAACUAAAAUUGGCCCAUAAGAACCACUAGAUCCCCGUGGAUAGUUCAUACUUGCUGUGGCUUCAACUUGGGAAGUUUAGAGCCAGAGAGGAUAGAUCAUUAUAAGUUCAUUAAAACUCCUGUAGAUAACCAAAAUUAAACUAAUGUAAGUGUGAGUUUGUGUUAUAUACUUGCACUUAAAUAGAGCAAUAGUAACUUAUGAUAAUAUUAGAAGAAAUUGCUAACGUACUGUGAUUGAUUUUAUAAGAAUAGACCUCUCCAUAUACCGGCAUAGAUGACGUAAAGCACCAGGGAUACUCAGAAGUGAGAGCAUCCGGCCUCGAACAAAAAUAGGACAGGAAAGUGAAGAUAGAAAGAACUAAAGAGCAAUGGAUGUAGGAUAUAUAGAAGGGAUACUUUGAAAUAAAGGAAGUAAACAACACCAUCAUUUAUAAGCUGAAUUUAAGCAGGACAUUACUUAUUGCUACCAACCAAUGAAUUUAAUUACAUCCACCUGCUUACAUUAAAAUCUGCGCACAAACAUUACAAGCAUA